rnacentral:ncRNA from 2 species
GGGGUUCACCCGGGGUGCCUCCAGAAGAGGCUGAGAUACUGCUGGCGCACUUGCGCAGUGCAGGGACCCGACGAACCUGAUCCAGGUCAUGCUGGCGAAGGGAAGGUGUUCUCGGCCAACU